rnacentral:lncRNA from 1 species
GAGGGGGAGUUCGCCUUUCACUAAACCAAAAUAUAUAAGUCAAGGGUGCGCCGAUCCCACCCGUUCUUUCCCAAAUACCGAUGAGCGCGACGGCCAUUGAGGGAACCAGUGUCUCACGGAAACUGAAUAUUAUAGGUCGCAGCCCCCUUUUAUUUUGGUAGGAAGAUUCAGAAUUGACCUGAUUUCUCGGACUUGAUAAACGAAAGUUGAGCUUGGAUUCAAGUGAGUGCAUUUGACCUUCGAGAUUAUACUUAGUCUGCACGAUUCCUGGCUGAAUUAUGAUCAUCUUUGGUUGGUCGUGAUAUAAUCGCUACCACCUGCGACUAGCUAUAUGGCUUCGCCGUUGAUUCACGCAGUUUUCGUUCUCGGCUUCCGAUCUCUCAAGAGAUAUUCCAAGCACGUGGGUCCAGGAAUAACUCUCUCUGCCCGACAUUUGAGCUCCAGGAUGCGUCAAUGCUGCCGCCGGGAGUCGAUGUAUGUACUUUUAACAGCUUGAGUUUCAUCUGUAAAAAUCGCGGAAAAGUGAUGGAACGCUGCAGACGAUAACAAAGGGAAGCAGUUUUAUUUCUGGACAGUCGGCACAGAUACAAUGCCAUCGUUUUUUACGUAAUUUAUUUUUGUACCCUUCCGCCAGAAGUUUCAUACUACUGCGCAUAUCUAUAUAUACGCAUAUUAUU